CUCGCGCUCCGGGGUUGGUCCACGGAUCCCUCAGAAGCCCUUUGGGGACCAUCGCCCAGGGCCUGCUCUAUAUGUGGCGCAGCUAAUCCUACCCCCGGGGAACUUGAUGCGCUUCUUUGGCCAAGCUCAAAGGAUUCCGAGGGCCAAGGAGAAAGGGGGGAAGGAGUAAAUGAAUCUCCAGGAGAGGAGGUUUAUUUUUCUUUUAAGCCGUAAUAAAGGGAAAUUCGGUGGCCAUCAAGCGCCUCCCGAUGAUGCCGGCAUCUCCGCGAGUGAAAGCCAAACUUUUGGAGUCGGCGUGCAGUGGAGUGCGGGACCUUGCGGCGCGAACACGAGAAAAGGGAUGCGGCCGGCGUCCAGGCCAAUGGAAAAUGAGUGGCUUUAAUUCCUGCCCCUACUGGAGCCUCAAUUUCGAUUAAACUCAAGGAGCAUGCGAGAA